UCCGUAGGUGGGCGAUUAAGUCAGUGGUGAAAUCCUGCAGCUCAACUGUAGAAUUGCCUUUGAUACUGGUCGUCUUGAGUCGCUGUGAAGUGGUUGGAAUAUGUAGUGUAGCGGUGAAAUGCAUAGAUAUCACAUAGAACACCGAUCGCGAAGGCAGGUGACCAACCAUGUACUGACGCUGAUGGACGAAAGCGUGGGUAGCGAACG
rnacentral:rRNA from 1 species